GCCCGAGUGGCGGAAUUGGUAGACGCGCUGGUCUCAAAAACCUGUGAGGUUACACUCGUGCCGGUUCGAUCCCGGCCUCGGGUACCA
rnacentral:tRNA from 1 species